rnacentral:rRNA from 1 species
GAUCAUGGCUCAGGAUGAACGCUAGCGGCAGGCUUAACACAUGCAAGUCGAGGGGCAGCGAGAUCAAAGCUUGCUUUGGUUGUCGGCGACCGGCGCACGGGUGCGUAACGCGUAUGCAACCUACCCACUACAGGGGGAGUAACACUGAGAAAUCGGUACUAAUACCCCACUAAUAUCUUGGUAAGGGCGAUCUUCCGUAGGUUGUAAACUACCGGUCGGUAGUGGAGUGGGCGAUGCGUUGUAUUAGU